AGGAUUAGAUACCCUGGUAGUCCUAGCCCUAAACGGUGCACGUUUGCUGUGAGAGGAAUCGACCCCUUUCGUGGCGAAGCUAACGCGAUAAACGUGCCGCCUGGGGAGUACGGUCGCAAGAUUAAAACUCAAAGAAAUUGACGGGGGCCUGCACAAGCGGUGGAGUAUGUGGCUUAAUUCGAUGCAACGCGAAGAACCUUACCUGGCCUUGACAUGCAUUUGGUAGAACCAUGAAAGUGGGACGACCCCGCAAGGGGAGGAUGCACAGGUGCUGCAUGGCUGUCGUCAGCUCGUGUCGUGAGAUGUUGGGUUAAGUCCCGCAACGAGCGCAACCCUUAUGUCCUGUUGCCACUCAAACGAGAGUUUGGAGCACUCUGGACAGACUGCCUCGCUUAAACGGGGAGGAAGGUGGGGAUGACGUCAAGUCAGUAUGGCCCUUACGGCCAGGGCUGCACACGUACUACAAUGCCCGGUACAGAGGGAAGCAAGACCGUCAGGUGGAGCAAAUCCCAAAAAACCGGGCCCAGUUCAGAUUGCCGUCUGCAACUCGACGGCAUGAAGUUGGAAUCGCUAGUAAUGGCGCAUCAGCUACGGCGCCGUGAAUACGUUCCCAUGCCUUGUACACACCGCCCGUCACAUCAUGAAAGCCGGUUGUACCCGAAGUCGCCACGUGAACCGCAAGGACACAGGUGCCGAAGGUAUGGCUGGUGAUUGGGAUGAAGUCGUAACAAG
rnacentral:rRNA from 1 species